rnacentral:sRNA from 1 species
UGGAAAUGAUUCCAGCCACGUCCUACAC